AUACGGAGGACGCGAGCGUUAUCCGGAUUCAUUGGGUUUAAAGGGUGCGCAGGCGGCCGUGCAAGUCAGCGGUGAAAGCCCGGGGCUCAACCCCGGAAGUGCCGUUGAUACUGCGUGGCUGGAAUGCGGUCGAGGCGGGCGGAACGGGGCGUGGAGCGGGGAAAAGCGUAGAUAUGCCACAGAACCCCGAUAGCGGAGGCAGCUCGCCAGGCCUGCAUUGACGCUCGGGCACGAAAGCGUGGGGAGCGAACAGGAUUAGAUACCCUGGUAGUCCACGCCGUAAACGAUGGGCGCUCGUCGUCGGCGACAGACAGUCGGCGGCCAAGCGAAAGCGAUAAGCGCCCCACCUGGGGAGUACGGUCGCAAGGCUGAAACUUAAAGGAAUUGGCGGGG
rnacentral:rRNA from 1 species